rnacentral:rRNA from 1 species
CAAUAGCGUAUAUUAAAGUUGUUGCAGUUAAAAAGCUCGUAGUUGGAUUUCGGGGUGGCCUGGCUGGUCCGCCGCAAGGUGAGUACUGGUCAGCCGCCCUUCCUCUCGAAAGCCCCGACUGCUCUUUACUGCAGUGGUCGGGUAGUUCGGGACGUUUACUUUGAAAAAAUUAGAGUGUUCAAGGCAGGCUAUCGCCUGAAUACAUUAGCAUGGAAUAAUGGAAGAGGACCUCGGUCCUAUUUUGUUGGUUUCCAGGGCCGAAGUAAUGAUUAAGAGGGACAGUUGGGGGCAUUCGUAUUUAAUUGUCAGAGGUGAAAUUCUCGGAUUUAUGAAAGACGAACAACUGCGAAAGCAUUUGCCAAGGAUGUUUUCAUUAA